rnacentral:rRNA from 1 species
AGCCUGAUGCAGCCAUGCCGCGUGUGUGAAGAAGGCCUUCGGGUUGUAAAGCACUUUCAGUCGUGAGGAAGGUAGUGCAGUUAAUAGCUGCAUUAUUUGACGUUAGCGACAGAAGAAGCACCGGCUAACUCCGUGCCAGCAGCCGCGGUAAUACGGAGGGUGCGAGCGUUAAUCGGAAUUACUGGGCGUAAAGCGCAUGCAGGUGGUUUGUUAAGUCAGAUGUGAAAGCCCGGGGCUCAACCUCGGAAUUGCAUUUGAAACUGGCAGACUAGAGUACUGUAGAGGGGGGUAGAAUUUCAGGUGUAGCGGUGAAAUGCGUAGAGAUCUGAAGGAAUACCGGUGGCGAAGGCGGCCCCCUGGACAGAUACUGACACUCAGAUGCGAAAGCGUGGGGAGCAAACAGGUUUAGAUACCCUGGUAGUCCACGCCGUAAACGAUGUCUACUUGGAGGUGGUGGCCUUGAGCCGUGGCUUUCGGAGCUAACGCGUUAAGUAGACCGCCUGG